rnacentral:rRNA from 1 species
UACGUAGGGCGCGAGCGUUUGUCCGGAAUUAUUGGGCGUAAAGAGCUCGUAGGCGGUUUGUCGCGUCGGUUGUGAAACCCAAGGCUCAACCUUGGGCCUGCAAUCGAUACGGGCAGACUAGAGUACUGCAGGGGAGACUGGAAUUCCUGGUGUAGCGGUGGAAGUGCGCAGAUAUCAGGAGGAACACCGGUGGCGAAGGCGGGUCUCUGGGCAGUAACUGACGCUGAGGAGCGAAAGCGUGGGGAGCGAACAGG